rnacentral:other from 1 species
ACCACUCUGGGAUGUUCGCCAGCACGUCAGAUUCCCCUGAGCCGAUAUUUAUAUCCCCGGAUGUAUCCUGCGUAUUUAGAGCGUAAGCCUGCCUUGAGUAGGAAACCCAGCAAGUACGCGUUGCGUCCACCUUGAACUUUAGGGUUCAAGGGUAAUGAUAUGCAGCGGCAUCUUCGGAGUGAAC